UUUUUUUUUUUUUUUUUUUUCGGGUUCUUGCGUAAUGUUAAAUGUUGCGCGUAAGUACCGAUAACACGGGAAAAUGCUGCCCAGCGCCGUGAACUAUCUAUGCAGAAGGGUACCUCGACAGUUAUGAUGGUGUAGUGCUCUUACAGCUGUUGUGCCAUCGACGAAAGCAGCGAAAUGCCCACGAACCCGUCGUCCGAACUUGAGUAUGGAGAUGAAGUUCUGCCUUCGCUGAGAGAUCACGAAAAUAAACUGAGACGCACACGCAAUCUUGUUGGCUUUUGGUUGUUGGGACUCUGUAACAAUUAUGCUUAUGUUGUUAUGCUCAGCGCAGCGUUCGACAUACUCAACAAAGAAGUCGGCCCUCAUAAUGUCACAGUAGAUCCGCAUUCACCCAACAAUACAAGAUGCAAUCCAACAUCCACAGGAGCAAUCCUACUUGCGGAUAUCCUGCCAGCUCUAUUUAUCAAGCUCACUGCUCCUUUUCUCAGCAUUAAUACAAGCAUUCAAGUUGCAGCAGUUGUCCUGCUUUCCUGCUCAAGUUUUUUAAUGACUUCUUUUACCAUAGCCAAGUGGAUGUCCUUCCUUGGUGUUGUCUGUGCGGCCCUUGGAAGUGGCCUGGGUGAAAUAACUUUCCUCGCCUACUCUUCUCACUUUGAUACGGAUGUGAUAUCAACGUGGUCGUCGGGCACAGGUGGUGCGGGUGUACUUGGUGCCUUUUCCUACGCGGCAAUGGCAUCGGUGCUCACACCCGAGACAACCCUCCUUGUCAUGCUGUUUGUGCCAGUGCUGCUUGCAAUAAGCUUCUGGGGAAUUCUGGCCCACCCGAAGAUUCGUGCACGGCAGCCUGUCGAUGUGGCUGUGCCCGAUGAAGAGCCGCUCCUCCUGAGUUGCAGUGGCUCCUUUGAAGAUGGGAACACUACGCUCACAUUUAUUCAAAAGCUCAAGCUUAUCAAGCCACUGCUCAGAUUCAUGAUUCCGCUUGGAUUCGUCUACUUUGCAGAGUACUUUAUAAACCAAGGGCUGCUCGAGCUAAUAGUGUUUAGGAACACAAAGCUUACGCACAAGGAGCAAUACAGAUGUUCGCCAAUAUGGCCUUCAUCUUUUUGGAGGCCUAUCUCCUCUUCCUGCCGAGCUUCUGGAUAGUAGUUGUCGUCGUCCUAUACGAAGGUCUUCUCGGUGGUGCUGCGUAUGUCAACACUUUCUACCGCAUAUCGAAGGACGUGGCGCCUCAACAUCGAGAAUUUUCUCUGCGCAUUGCAUCACUGGCAGACAGCACGGGCAUAGCCUUGGCAGGUGCGGUUGCACUCCCAGUCCACGAUGCAAUGUGCCGCUUGAGCUACUGACACGAGGACCACCAGCAACACUGUGAUCAUUGUUACGUUAAUAACUGCACAGCUAAGUUCAGAGACAUGCUAAAAGCUAAAAUAAUGAACACAGUCAUAGAAACAUGAAUGAUAGCAAUGAAAAUUACAGUUGCUUGCGUCAUUCACGUUUCCAUGUUUUCGUGUUCAUCAUUUAGCAGUAAUCAUGUCCUUUAAUGGUUACCAAUUAGGGUGAAAACAAGCUGUUCUGACUACUACAGUAAAACCUCAUUGGCAUUGGCAGAGGUAUAAAAUGGGCUAAUCAGUGUGCAUUCGUGUCAUUAUUGCACUACGUGGUGACACACACAAAAGGCAGGUUCUAUAUCACAACUGGACGAAGCAGUGCAAACUGCCAUCUAGUCAUACGUAAACGCAAAUGUUCUCUUUUCGACUUAAAACACACCAGUUGGUGACUUGUGCUCAAUUUUGUCCAGUUGAAUUUUCUUUGCUUGUCAUCUUGUGUAUUAACCACAUAAUGCAACAAUAACAUGCCUGCAAUGUUGUAAAAGAAUGUCUAGAAAGAAACAUAAUUUAGAAAAAUGUGUCCUGGAUCCUAGUCAACGAGUCCAAAUUGUAUAAUCUAGUAUAAUUGGGUAGUUUCACUGCUGUCCUUUGCAGCUGCGAAAAUUGCAAAAUUUUGCACUACACAAAGAUGUAGCAAUGAGGUUCUGCUGUACUGUGUAGCGACUUUCAACAAUGUGGUGUGAUGCUGCUAUACAUUUAGCAUAGGAAUGAAAUAGUACUCGGCAAACGGCUCUUGAGCAGGGAAGUUGUAAAGCGGUUGCUCACUGCAGAGUACACCCAAGUCAUUUUACUUGGGCACCUGCUCAGCUUGGCUGACGCACCAUGUUUAAUGUGCCAAUGAUUGAAACUGCUUGCAGAUUGUUGUGCAUUUAUUAUGGUGAUUGAUUAGUGAUGAUAUGCUUUUCAGGAAUCACCAAGUUUUGUAGAAGGCAUAUUUCACAACAAGUUAUGUGCUAUUCUAGCUCUAGCUUAAAUGUGUGUGUCUUAGCCAUGUACACACAACUGCUUUAGCCCAACUCAUUGCACUAGUUGAAUGUAUUUGAAUAUUUUGAGCAGAGAUUUUAUUUUCGCUGCUGUGUGGAAUCACAAUGUGACAACUGUUCAGAAGUGCUGUUCAGAUGGCACUUGUCGCCCAAAUAUUGUUAAAAUAUUUUUCCAGUUUUUACAGCUAUGUAUCCACACAAAGUGUAGGUUACUUCUUAAACAUUGUUUUGUAUACAUAUUGCCAAUGAACUUGUAAUACUGCUUUGUCAGUGCCUUGCAGUGCAGCGAGAGCAAUGACUUAACAAUAGUUCACUUUUUAAAGCAAGCACUUUUUUUUUUUUUGCACUGCACAGUCUAGUUAAAAUGUGUGCUGAGAAAUGAAGGAGCUGAUAUCGUGUGCGGUCCCAACUGCAGCUAGUAAUUACAAAUCUGGGACAGUACAGUCAACGUCAAAAACCUGUGAGAAAAGAACAAUUGCAGUACAGUUUUAACGUGCAACCAGUCGAACAGUACUUCAGUCGUGUAUAUGCUAGUACAGGUACAAAUCUGAAUUCUUGGCUCAUAUGCCCAGGCUCAAGAAAUAUUCAGCUUUUUCUUUUUUCAGGUUACCUUUUGAUACCAUGUGUUCAUGUUCCCAGAUAUUGAAGUGAACACUUUUUUUUUUUUCACUGAAAGUGUACGUUAUCUUUAUUGAGUAUUUUAUGACCGCUCUUGUUCCUAUUGUAAUACAGCAUCAUCAUUGCAGGACAGUGAGAUACUACAGCAACACUUUAGUAGUCACAUUCUAUAUAGUUAGAAAACUUUACGAAUUGUGCAUGCGUGUUUGUCAUAGCAUGACUUUGAGAUGGGCAUUUUUGUAAUGCUCUUACAGUACAGUCCACUCUUAAAGGGAACACCGAAUCAGUAUUUCAGUAUUGUUCAUGGCUCAGUUUUGACAUGAAGGCCUCAGCAAUAAUAUUUUUUUUUUACCCACAUAGGUAUAAUAUAUCACAUCAAAGUAAUCAGGUGCUCCCUAUAAGAUUUUACAGUACUGUACGUAUGCUUAUAGUUUUCCUUCUUUGUUUUGUGUGGUGCUGAGUAUUGCUGGGCUUAUUGCUGACUUGAGGAACAAUCAUUGGGGGUGCCCACAUAAUACAUACAUAAUGUGUGCACUCUUGGUAAUUAUUGAGCACUAACGUCUGUUGAAGAGAAAGAAUGUGUGGGUAGAGGUAUAUACAAGUGAAAUAAUUCAUUGUUCAGGACAUUAUGUGCCGAUGUUAACAUUUUCAGGUAUGUCUUCAUUGUACCAUUUCUUUGGCCCAGUGCUUAGUCAUAUGGAGGACCAUCACUGCGUUGUGUGUUACUCUUAAUACAGCCCAAUGUAUACGUGUUUUAAUAUUGGCUUAACUGCGACCUGAAAUGUGUCAGGGGUAUAACUGACUCAUUAAAUGCACAUUGGAACUACAGACUCACUCAAGCCGCGAUUUGCCUUAAUGUAUUGCACCAUUGUUUUCUUGGACCAAGAUUUCAACAUCUCUGCAGGUGGUAUUCGGUUUUUAAUAAAUAUGGCAGUGUCAUGUAAUCAAAUCUCAUUCCAU
rnacentral:misc_RNA from 1 species